AACAAACGCUGGCGGCGUGCCUAAUACAUGCAAGUCGAACGGGGAAAGCUUUCGGGUGAGUACUAGUGGCGCACGGGUGAGUAACGCGUGGAUAAUCUGCCUUAGAGUGGGGGAUAACGAAUCGAAAGAUUAGCUAAUACCGCAUAAGACCACAAGAACUGCGGUUCAAGGGGUCAAAGGCUUUUAGCUCUAAGAUGAGCCCAGGUCGGAUUAGCUAGUUGGCGGGGUAAAGGGCCACCAAGGCGACGAUCCGUAACUGGUCUGAGUGGCUGAUCAGUCGCACUGGAACUGAGACACGGUCCAGACUCCUACGAGAGGCAGCAGUGGGGAAUAUUGGAAUAUGGGCGAAAGCCUGAUCCAGCCAUGCCGCGUGUGUGAAGAAGGUCUUCGGAUUGUAAACCUCUUUCAGCGGGGACGAAGCGCAAGUGACGGUACCCGCAGAAGAAGCACCGGCCAACUACGUGCCAGCCGCCGCCGUAAUAC
rnacentral:rRNA from 1 species